rnacentral:lncRNA from 1 species
UGACUCCGCUGUCCUGGCGUCGUGAGGGAGCUUGUUCCACCAUUGGGGUGCCAGAGCAGCGAACAGUUUUGACUGGGCUGAGCGGGAACUGUGCUUCCUCAGAGGUAGGGAGGCGAGCAGGCCAGAGGAGGAUGAACGCAGUGCCCUUGUUUGGGUGUAGGGCCUGAUCAGAGCCUGAAGGUACGGAGGUGCCGUUCCCCUCACAGCUCCGUAGGCAAGCAGCAUGGUCUUGUAGCGGAUGCGAGCUUCAACUGGAAGCCAGUGGAGAGAGCGGAGGAGUGGGGUGACGUGAGAGAACUUGGGAAGGUUGAACACCAGACGGGCUGCGGCGUUCUGGAUGAGUUGUAGGGGUUUAAUGGCACGGGCAGGGAGCCCAGCCAACAGCGAGUUGCAGUAAUCCAGACGGGAGAUGACAAGUGCUUGGAUUAGGACCUGCGCCGCUUCCUGUGUGAGGCAGGGUCGUACUCUGCGAAUGUUGUAGAGCAUGAACCUACAGGAUCGGGUCACCGCCUUGAUGUUAGUGGAGAACGACAGGGUGUUGUCCAGGGUCACGCCAAGGUUCUUAGCACUCUGGGAGGAGGACACAAGGGAGUUGUCAACCGUGAUGCAAGAUCAUGGAACGGGCAGUCCCUCCCCGGGAGGAAGAGCAGCUCCGUCUUGCUGAGGUUCAGCUUGAGGUGGUGAUCCGUCAUCCACACUGAUAUGUCUGCCAGACAUGCAGAGAUGCGAUUCGACACCUGGUUAUCAGAAGGGGGAAAGGAGAAGAUUAAUUGUGUGUCGUCUGCAUAGCAAUGAUAGGAGAGACCAUGUGAGGAUAUGACAGAGCCAAGUGACUUGGUGUAUAGCGAGAAUAGGAGAGGGCCUAGAACAGAACCCUGGGGGACACCAGUGGUGAGAGCACGUGGUGCGGAGACAGAUUCUCGCCACGCCACCUGGUAGGAGCGACCUGUCAGGUAGGACGCAAUCCAAGGGUGGGCCGCGCCGGAGAUGCCCAACUCGGAGAGGGUGGAGAGGUGGAUCUGAUGGUUCACAGUAUCAAAGGCAGCAGAUAGGUCUAGAAGGAUGAGAGCAGAGGAGAGAGAGUUAGCUUUAGCAGUGCGGAGAGCCUCCGUGACACAGAGAAGAGCAGUCUCAGUUGAAUGACCAGUCUUGAAACCUGACUGAUUUGGAUCAAGAAGGUCAUUCUGAGAGAGAUAGCAGGAGAGCUGGCCAAGGACGGCACGUUCAAGAGUUUUGGAGAGAAAAGAAAGAAAGGAUACUGGUCUGUAGUUGUUGACAUCAGAGGGAUCGAGUGUAGGUUUUUUCAGAAGGGGUGCAACUCUCGCUCUCUUGAAGACGGAAGGGACGUAGCCAGCGGUCAAGGAUGAGUUGAUGAGCGAGAUGAGGUAAGGGAGAAGGUCUCCGGAAAUGGUCUGGAGAAGAGAGGAGGGGAUAGGGUCAAGUGGGCAGGUUGUUGGGCAGCCGGCGGUCACAAGACGCGAGAUUUCAUCUGGAGAGAGAGGGGAGAAAGAGGUCAAAGCACAGGGUAGGGCAGUGUGAGCAGGACCAGCAGUGUCAUUUGACUUAGCAAACGAGGAUCGGAUGUCGUCAACCUUCUUUUCAAAAUGGUUGACGAAGUCAUCCGCAGAGAGGGAGGGGGGGGGAGGGAGAGGAGGAUUCAGGAGGGAGGAGAAGGUGGCAAAGAGCUUCCUAGGGUUAGAGGCAGAUGCUAGGAAUUUAGAGUGGUAGAAAGUGGCUUUAGCAGCAGAGACAGAAGAGGAAAAUGUAGAGAGGAGGGAGUGAAAGGAUGCCAGGUCCGCAGGGAGGCGAGUUUUCCUCCAUUUCCGCUCGGCUGCCCGGAGCCCUGUUCUGUGAUCUCGCAGUGAGUCGUCGAGCCACGGAGCAGGAGGGGAGGACCGAGCCGGCCUGGAGGAUAGGGGACAGAGAAAAUCAAAGGAUGCAGAAAGGGAGGAGAGGAGGGUUGAGGAGGCAGAAUCAGGAGAUAGGUUGGAGAAGGUUUUGAGCAGAGGGAAGAGAUGAUAGGAUGGAAGAGGAGAGAGUAGCGGGAGAGAGAGAGCGAAGGUUGGGAUGUCGCAAUACAAUCCGAGUAGGGGCAGAGUGAGAAGUGUUGGAUGAGAGCGAGAGGGAAAAGGAUACAAGGUAGUGGUCGGAGACUUGGAGGGGAGUUGCGAUGAGAUUAGUGGAAGAACAGCAUCUAGUAAAGAUGAGGUCAAGCGUAUUGCCUGCCUUGUGAGUAGGGGGGGAAGGUGAGAGGGUGAGGUCAAAAGAGGAGAGGAGUGGAAAGAAGGAGGCAGAGAGGAAUGAGUCAAAGGUAGACGUGGGGAGGUUAAAGUCACCCAGAACUGUGAGAGGUGAGCCAUCCUCAGGAAAGGAACUUAUCAAGGCGUCAAGCUCAUUGAUGAACUCUCCAAGGGAACCUGGAGGGCGGUAAAUGAUAAGGAUGUUAAGCUUGAAAGGGCUGGUAACUGUGACAGCAUGGAAUUCAAAUGGGGAGAUAGACAGAUGGGUCAGGGGAGAAAGAGAGAAUGUCCACUUGGGAGAGAUGAGGAUUCCAGUGCCACCACCCCCUGGCCAGAUUCUCUCGGGGUAUGCGAGAACACGUGGGCAGACAGGAGAGAGCAGUAGGAGUAGCAGUGUUAUCUGUGGUAAUCCAUGUUUCCGUCAGUGCCAGGAAGUCGAGGGACUGGAGGGUAGCAUAGGCUGAGAUGAACUCAGCCUUGUUGGCCGCAGACCGGCAGUUCCAGAGGCUGCCGGUGACCUGGAACUCCACGUGGGUCGUACGCGCUGGGACCACCAGGUUAGAGUGGCAGCGGCCACGCGGUGUGAAGCGUUUGUAUGGCCUGUGCAGAGGGGAGAGAACAGGGAUAGACAGACACAUAGUUGACAAGCUACAGAAGAGGCUACGCUAAUGCAAAGGAGAUUGGAAUGACAAGUGGACUACACGUCUCGAAUGUUCAGAAAGUUAAGCUUACGUUGCAAAAAUCUUAUUGACAAAUGAAGAAAAUGAUACAGUACUGCUGGCUGGUGAAGUAGGCUAGCUAGCAGUGGCUGCGUUGUUGACUUUGUUUGAACGUGUAGCUGGCUAGGUAACCUCGAUAGUUUCAGUACUACACCUUAUCAUGAUACAAAAGCAACUAUGUAGCUAGCUAACAUAGCCCAAAUCAAGACGUUCCUUUGUAAUGUAUUUAGUUUCUACAAUGCUGCUCGUCGGUAAUAGUUGGCUAGGUUUGGAAAAAUUGCGUCGCGGGGGACGAAAAUAGCUGGCUAGCUUACCUCGAUAAUUACUCUAAACUACACAAUUAUCAAGCUAUGACAAAGACAACUAUGUAGCUAGCUAACACUGCACUAGUCAAAUCGUUCCGUUGUAAUGUAUUAGUUUCUACAGCGCUGCUAGUCGGUAACGGUUGGCUAGCUAGCAGUGGGUUUGAUGAUGACUAGGUGUGUUGACUAAGUCUGGAGUCUGGACAACGGCGUCGCGUCGCGGCUGGCUAGCUAACCUCGAUAAUUACUCUAAACUACACAAUUAUCUUAGAUACAAAGACAGCAAAGACAACUAUGUAGCUAGCUAACACUACACUAAUCAAGUCGUUCCGUUGUAAUGUUGUAAUGUAAUAGUUUCUACAGUGCUGCUAGUCGGUAGAAGUUGGCUAGUUGGCUAGCUAGCAGUGUUGACUACGUUAGGAGGACGAAAAUAGCUGGCUAGCUAACCUCGGUAAUUACUCUAAUUACUCUAAACUACACAAUUAUCUUUGAUACAAAGACGGCUAUGUAGCUAGCUAAGAAAAAUUGCUCAGAUCAAACAAAUCAAACCAAUGUAAUGUACUGAAAUGUAAUAUUACCUGUGGAGCGAAGCGAAGUGCGACUACUCGCUCCAAACCGGAAGUUACCAUGUUUUGCUUUCGUUGUAAAGCCUUUUUGAAAUCGGACAGUGUGGUUAGAUUAACGAGAGUCUUGUCUUUAAAAUGGUGUAAAAUAGUCAUAUGUUUGAGAAAUUGAAGUAAUAGCAUUUCUAAGGUAUUUGAAUAACGCGCCACGGGAUUCCACUGGCUGUUACGUAGGUGGGACGAAAUCGUCCCACUGGCCCUAGAGAAGUUAAGCAGCGAGUCAGAGUCAGAGGCCGAGCCUUCUCUGGGUUCUACUCCUCCCGUUACGGGGUCUGAGACGCCGAAGGCUCCCACCAUUAUCUCUGACAAAUUGAAAACCCUAGUCAUUGGCGACUCCAUUACCCGCAGUAUUAGACUUUAAAAUGAAUCAUCCAGCGAUCAUACACUGUUUACCAGGGGGCAGGGCUAACGACGUUAAGGCUAAACUGAAGAGGGUGCUGGCUAAAGCUAAAACUGGCGAGUGUAGAGAGUAUAGAGAUAUUGUUAUCCACGUCAGUACCAACGAUGUUAGGAUGAAACAGUCAGAGGUCACCAAGCGCAACAUAGCUUCAGCGUGUAAAUCAGCUAGAAAGAUGUGUCGGCAUCGAGUAAUUGUCUCUGGCCCCCUCCCAGUUAGGGGGAGUGAUGAGCUCUACAGCAGAGUCUCACAACUCAAUCGCUGGUUGAAAACUGUUUUCUGCCCCUCCCAAAAGAUAGAAUUUGCAGAUAAUUGACCCUCUGUCUGGGACUCACCCACAAACAGGACCAAGCCUGGCCUGUUGAGGAGUGACGGACUCCAUCCUAGCUGGAGGGGUGCUCUCAUCUUAUCUACGAACAUAUACAGGGCUCUAACUCCCCUAGCUGUUAGCCAGCCUGCCAGCUUAGUGGAGUCUGCCACUAGCACAGUCAGUGUAGUCAGCUCAGCUAUCCCCAUUGAGACUGUGUCUGUGCCUCGACCUAGGUUGGGAAAAACUAAACAUGGCGGUGUUUGCCUUAGCAAUCUCACUAGAAUAAAGACCUCUUCCUUUCCUGCCUUUAUUGAAAGAGAUCGUGAAUCCUCACAUCUCAAAAUAGGGCUACUUAAUGUUAGAUCCCUCACUUCAAAGGCAGUUAUAGUCAAUGAACUAAUCACUGAUCAUAAUCUUGAUGUGAUUGGCCUGACUGAAACAUGGCUUAAGCCUGAUGAAUUUACUGUGUUAAAUGAGGUCUCACCUCCUGGUUACACAAGUGACCAUAUCCCCGCGCAUCCUGGAAAGGCGGAGGUGAUGCUAACAUUUCCGAUAGCAAAUUUCAAUUUCAAUCUUUUGAGCUUCUAGUCAUGAAAUCUAUGCAGCCUACUCAAUCACUUUUUACAGCUACUGUUUACAGGCCUCCUGGGCCAUAUACAGCGUUCCUCACUGAGUUCCCUGAAUUCCUAUCGGACCCUGUAGUCAUAGCAGAUAACAUUCUAAUUUUUGGUGACUUUAAUAUUCACAUGGAAAAGUCCACAGACCCACUCCAAAAGGCUUCGUAGCCAUCAUCGACUCAGUGGGUUUUGUCCAACAUGUCUCCGGACCAAGUCACUGCCACAGUCAUACUCUGGACCUAAUUUUGUCCCAUGGAAUAAAUGUUGUGGAUCUUAAUAUUAUGUCUUUUUCCUCAUAAUCCUGGACUAUCGGACCACCAUUUUAUUAUAUUUGCAAUCGCAACAAAUAAUCUGCUCAGACCCCAACCAAGGAGCAUCAAAAGUCUUGCUUUAAAUUCUCAGACAACUCAAAGAUUCCUUGAUGCCCUUCCAGACUCCCUCUGUUUGAAGGACGUCAGAGGACAAAAAUCAGUUACACCUCUUACAUCUAGAUGUUCCGCUAGCGGAACACCGCUCCAAUAUCCAAUGAUAGGGCGUGGCGCGAAUUACAAAUUCCUCAAAAAUACAAAAACUUCAAUUUUUCAAACAUAUGACUAUUUUACACCAUUUUAAAGACAAGACUCUCCUUUAUCUAACCACAUUGUCCGAUUUCAAAAAGGCUUUACAACGAAAGCAAAACAUUAGAUUAUGUCAGCAGAGUACCAAGCCAGAAAUAAUCAGACACCCAUUUUUCAAGCUAGCAUAUAAUGUCACAAAAACUCAGAAGACAGCUAAAUGCAGCACUAACCUUUGAUGAUCUUCAUCAGAUGACAACUCUAGGACAUUAUGUUAUACAAUACAUGCAUGUUUUGUUCAAUCAAGUUCAUAUUUAUAUCAAAAAACAGCUUUUUACAUUAGCAUGUGACUAGCAUGUGACUAACAUUCCCACCGAACACUGCCGGUGAAUUUACUAAAUUACUCACGAUAAACGUUCACAAAAAGCAUAACAAUUAUUUUAAGAAUUAUAGAUACAGAACUCCUCUAUGCACUCGAUAUGUCCGAUUUUAAAAUAGCUUUUUGGUGAAAGCACAUUUUGCAAUAUUCUAAGUACAUAGCCCAGGCAUCACGGGCUAGCUAUUUAGACACCCAGCAAGUUUAGCACUCACCAAUAUCAGAUUUACUAUUAUAAAAGAUUGAUUACCUUUUGUUGUCUUCGUCAGAAUGCACUCCCAGGACUGCUACUUCAAUAACAAAUGUUGGUUUGGUCCAAAAUAAUCCAUCGUUAUAUCCGAAUAGCGGCGUUUUGUUCGUGCGUCCCAGAUACUAUCUGAAAUGGUAAAUCAGGGUCGCGCGCAUGGCGCAAUUCGUGACAAAAAAAAUCUAAAUAUUCCAUUACCGUACUUCGAAGCAUGUCAACCGCUGUUUAAAAUCCAUUUUUAUGCCAUUUUUCUCGUAAAAAAGUGAUAAUAUUCCGACCGGGAAUCUCCUUUUAGCUAAACAGAGGAAAGUAAACAAAGCUUUCGGUCGACGCGGGCACGAGCCUGAGUCUCACAGUACUGUAACCAGCCACUACCCAAACGCGCUACUUUUUUUCAGCCAGAGCCUGCAAAGCCACGAUUCAGCUUUUUACCGCCUUCUGAGACCCUAUGGCAGCCGUAGGAAGUGUCACGGGACAGCUAAGAUCCUCACUCUUCAAUAAACAGAGACAAGAAGAACGACACCUUGUCAGACAGGCCACUUCCUGCAUGAAACCUUGUCAGGUUUUUGCCUGCCAAAUGAGUUCUGUUAUACUCACAGACACCAUUCAAACAGUUUUAGAAACUUUCGGGUGUUUUCUAUCCAUAUGUAAUAAGUAUAUGCAUAUUCUAGUUACUGGGUAGGAGUGGUAACCAGAUUAAAUCGGGUACGUUUUUUAUCCAGCCGUGAAAAUACUGCCCCCUAGCCAUAACAGGUUAAACUCGGACAAAAAAAGAGAAGCUUGUUCUAGGUCCCAAGAAACAAAGAGAUCUUCUGUUGAAUCUGACAAUUAAUCUCGAUGGUUGUACAGUCGUCUCAAAUAAAACUGUGAAGGACCUCGGCGUUACUCUGGACCCAGACUCUCUUUUGAUGAACAUAUCAAGACUGUUUCAAGGACAGCUUUUUUCCAUCUACGUAACAUUGCAAAAAUCAGAAACCUUCUGUCCAAAAAUGAUGCAGAAAAAUUAAUCCAUGCUUUUGUUAGUUCGAGGUUAGACUACUGCAAUGCUCUACUUUCCGGCUACCCGGAUAAAGCACUAAAUAAACUUCCAUUAGUGCUAAAUAGAGCUGCUAAAAUCCUGACUAGAACCCAGAAAUUUGAUCAUAUUACUCCAGUGCUAGCCUCCCUACACUGGCUUCCUGUUAAGGCAGGGCUGAUUUCAAGGUUUUACUGCUAACCUACAAAGCAUUACAUGGGCUUGCUCCUACCUAUCUUUCCGAUUUGGUCCUGCCAUACAUACCUACACGUAUGCUACGGUCACAAGACGCAGGCCUCCUAAUUGUCCCUAAAAUUUCUAAGCAAACAGCUGGAGGCAGGGCUUUCUCCUAUAGAGCUCUAUUUUUAUGGAAUGGUCUGCCUACCCAUGUGAGAGACGCAGACUCGGUCUCAACCUUUAAGUCUUUAUUUAAGACUCCUCUCUUCAGUAGGUCCUAUGAUUGAGUGUAGUCUGGCCCAGGAGUGUGAAGGUGAACGGAAAGGCACUGGAGCAAUGAACCACCCUUGCUGUCUCUGCCUGGCCGGUUCCCCUCUCUCCACUGGGAUUCUCUGCCUCUAACCCUAUUACGGGGACUGAGUCACUGGCUUACUGGUGCUCUUCCAUGCCGUCCCUAGGAGGGGUGCAUCACUUGAGUGGGUUGAGUCACUGAUGUGGUCUUCCUGUCUGGGUUGGCGCCCCCCCUUGGGUUGUGCUGAGGCGGAGAUCUUUGUGGGCUAUACUCGGCCUUGUCUCAGGAUAGUAAGUUCUUUCUUUCUUUCUUUCUUUCUUUCUUUCUUUCUUUCUUUCUUUCUUUCUUUCUUUCUUUCUUUCUUUCUCUCUCUCUCUCUCUCUCUCUCUCUCUCUCUCUCUCUCUCUCUCUCUCUUUCUCGGAGGACCUGAGCCCUACGACCAUGCCUCAAGACUACCUGGCAUGAUGACUCCUUGUUGUCCCCAGUCCACCUGGCCGUGCUGCUGCUCCAGUUUCAACUGUUCUGCCUGCGGCUAUGGAACCCUGACCUGUUCACUGUGAUUACUAUUAUUUGACCAUGCUGGUCAUUUAUGAACAUUUGAACAUCUUGGCCAUGUUCUGUUAUAAUCUCCACCCGGCACAGCCAGAAGAGGACUUGCCAACCCUCAUAGCCUGGUUCCUCUCUAGGUUUCGGCCUUUCUAGGGAGCUUUUCCUAGCCAUCGUGCUUCUACACCUGCAUUGCUUGCUGUUUGGGGUUUUAGGCUGGGUUUCUGUACAGCACUUUGAUAUAUCAGCUAAUGUAAGAAGGGCUAUAUAAAUACAUUUGAUUUGAUCUCAGUCUACUGUGCAUCAGUGAGGAAUAAGGACAGUGCAGCCUGCACAUGUCACAAAUACAACAUAUUGCACAUAUUGAGUCUGUGUUCAACGUGAUCUCAGAGCAUUUCGUAUUAUUCUGCAUGCAAAUCCGAGACACUCCAUUUACACUGCUUUGGAAAGUAAUCACACCCCUUCACUUUUUCAACAUUUUGCUAUGUUACUGACUUAUUCUAAAAUUGAUUAAAAACAAAUGUUUCCCUCCUAAAUCUACACACACAAUAUCCCGUUAUGACAGUGCAAAAACAGGUUCAGACAUUUUUGCAAAUUUGACUUGUCCCAAACCCAAACCCAACCUUUGCCCCAGUCUGAGAUCCUGAGCCCUCUUCAAGCAGUUUUUAUCAAGGAUCUCGCUGAACUUUGCUACGUUCAUCUUUCCCUCGAUCCUGACUAGUCCCCCAAGUUCCUGCCGCUGUUCAAACCUGGUUUCAUCAGACCAGAAAAUCUUGUUUCUCAUGGUCUGAGAGUCCAUUUAGGUGCCUUUUGGCAAACUCCAAGUUGGCUGUUAUGUGCCUUUUAUUGGAGGAGUGGCUUCCUUUUGGCCACUUUACCAUAAGGCCUGAUUAGUAGAGUGCUGCAGAGAUGUUUGUCCUUCUGGAAGGUUCUCCAAUCUUCACAGAGGAACUCUGGAGGUCUGUCAGAGUGACCAUCGGGUUCUUGGUCAACUCCCUGACCAAGACCCUUUCCCCCGAUAGCUUAGUUUGGCUGGGUGGCCAGGUCUAGGAAGAGACUGGUGGUUCCAAACGUCUUCCAUUUAAGAAUGAUGGAGGCCACUGUGUUCUUGAGGACCUUCAAUGCUGCAGACGUUUUUUGGUAGCCUUUCCCAGAUCUGUGCCUCCACACAAUCCUGUCUCGGAGAUCUACGGACAAUUCCUUCGACCUCACGGCUUAUUUUUUUGCUCUGACAAGCACUGUGAACUGUGGGACCUUAUAUAGACAGCUGUGUGCCUUUCCAAAUCAUGUCCAAUCAAUUAACUUUACCACAGGUGGAUUCCAAUCAAGUUGUAGAAACAUCUCACGGACGGUCAAUGGAAACAGGAUGCACUUGAGCUCAAUUUCGAGUCUCAUAGCAAAGGGUCGGAAUAUUUAUGGAAACAAAAGAUUAACCUGUUAAGGAAAAGCCAUCAACUGGAGUGGUGUAAAACUCGCUGCUAUUGGACUCUGGAGCAGUGGAAAUGCAUAUCUCUGGAGUGAUGUAUCAUUUGUAUUUAACAAGAAGGAGCUAUUGGGACAUAAAUUAUUAACUUUUUCGAACAAAACUACAUUUGUUGUGCACCUGGGAUUCCUGGAAAUGCCUUCUGAUGAAGAUAAUCAAAGGUAAGGGAAUAUUUACAAUAGUAUAUUUGAUUUUAGAUGGUUCCAAGAUGGCGCUAACCUGUAUCGCCUAGCCUAUUCUUUGUGUGAUUUCACAGUGAAGUUAUUUUUAAAUCUGGCAAUGCGGUUGCAUUCACGAGAUGUUAAUCUAUAAUUCUUUGAAUGACAAUAUUAUAUUUUACCAAUGUUUUCGAAUAGUAAUUUUGUAAAUUGAAGCGCUGAUCCACCGGAAGCAUUUCAGGGAAAAUAUUUUCUGAACAUCACGCGCCGAUGUAAAAUGCUGUUUUUAUAUAUAAAUAUGAACUUUAUCGAACAAAAGAAUGCAUGUAUUGUGUAACAUGAUGUCAUAGGACUGUCAUCUGAUGAAGUUCGUCAAAGGUUAUUGCUUCAUUUAGCUGUGUUUUGGGUAUUUGUGAUGCAUGCUAGUUGCUUUGAAAAUGGCAGUGUGAUUUUUUUUGGCAGGGUAUUCUUCUAACAUCAUCUAAUGUUUUGCUUUUGCUGUAAAGCCUUUUUGAAAUUGGACAACGUGGUUCGAUUCAGGAGAGGUGUAUCUAUAAAAUGGUGUAAAAUAGUCAUAUGUUUGAGAAAUUGAAGUUAUAGCAUUUUUUAGGUAUUUGUAUUUCACGCCACGCGAUUCCACUGGCUGUUGACCCAGACAGGUUAACAAUGUCUACACAUUAUUUAUUAACCUCUCUAGGCUAGGCGGGACGAAUUCGUCCCACCUACGUAACAGCCACUGCCAGCCUGUGGCGCGAUUUUUAAAACCUUAAAAAUCCUAUUACUUCAAUUUCUCAAACAUAUGACUAUUUUACAGCCAUUUAAAGACAAGACUCUCGUUAAUCUAACCACACUCACCAUAAUCAUAUUUACUAUUAUAAAAGUUUGAUUACCUUUUGUUGUCUUCGUCAGAAUGCACACCCAGGACUGCUACUUCAAUAACAAAUGUUGGUUUGGUCCAUAAUAAUCCAUCGUUAUAUCCGAAUAGCGGCGUUUUGUUCGUGCGUUCCAGACACUAUGAAAAACUAUGAUCUCGUUAGAAAACUAAAAUCACAUUCAUAUCUUAACAAAAAUAGUUUCAUCCUUUUUCAUAUUGUCUACACCACGUAUUGGAUGGAAACUUGACAUAAACAGUGUGCACACUUUCCAAGUUACAGUAUUUUUGUUAUACAAUUUUUAUACCAUUUUAAUGACAUCCCAAAAUAGACAUUCAUUUUCCACAUCUACCCAUUGACCAUUUCCCACAUUCGGAUGUUAGAAAUAUUGUUCCAGUGUUCACUUUUUGGACGUUAAAGUUUGGGCUAGCAAAACUCUCUCUAGACAAAGAUGUUCCAAUCCCAAUAUUAAGGAGCCAAGAGAGUUCUCUGCUGCAUAACAUUUACGACUGGGUGUAUGGAUUUAUGAGGGAAAAAAACAAUUUAAUCAAUUUUAGAAUCAGACUGAAACGUAACAAAAUGUGGAAAAAGUCAAGGGGUCUGAAUACUUUCCCGAAUGCACUGUAUGUUCACUAACAAUAGUGUACAUUUAAACAUAUUACAUUUUGCUGUACACCCUGGUAUCUUCUCACCUUUUCUGCAUGUACCUCCCUUCUGGUGUCCUCUCCCCCUAUCUCCCUUCUCUCUCACACAUGCAUACAGCCAAUUGAUUUGCUCUCUGCUUCAUAUUGCUGGUGGUCAGGUUUUGUUUGACUUUCAAAGCACAGGAGGACUCCCAUAGCCCAGGGUGGGAUGCACACAACGCCCC